rnacentral:tRNA from 1 species
ACCUGGGAGGCUCAGUUGGUUGAGCAUCUGACUUGAACUCAGGUCAUGAUCUCACGGUUCAUGGGUUCGAGCCCCGUGUCAGGCU